rnacentral:rRNA from 1 species
CUGAGACACGGUCCAGACUCCUACGGGAGGCAGCAGUGGGGAAUAUUGCACAAUGGGCGCAAGCCUGAUGCAGCCAUGCCGCGUGUAUGAAGAAGGCCUUCGGGUUGUAAAGUACUUUCAGUGGGGAGGAAGGCGAAGAGGUUAAUAGCUUCGUCGAUUGACGUUACCCGCAGAAGAAGCACCGGCUAACUCCGUGCCAGCAGCCGCGGUAAUACGGAGGGUGCAAGCGUUAAUCGGAAUUACUGGGCGUAAAGCGCACGCAGGCGGUCUGUCAAGUCGGAUGUGAAAUCCCCGGGCUCAACCUGGGAACUGCAUUCGAAACUGGCAGGCUAGAGUCUUGUAGA